GUGUGAAUUGCAUGUGAAUUAAGUCAGAGCUUCAUAAGCAAAUAAGAAGAAAAAAACAUAUCUGCCUGGCUCAGUAAACUGUAUUUUGAAUAUUUGUCAUUUUAAAAUGCAUAUAUGUUUCUAUAUGUUUACAUUGCUUUGUUAGGUUUGCAUGUCUCAUUUAGAAAUUGCUUCUGCAUGCAUUUAUUUGCACAGUUUACUAAAAACAUAGUUGCUAAACAAAUUUUCUCUGCCUUCUAGUUUGUGACCAGUGAUUUGUGUGCUGCAGGGUAUUCCAGCUUGUGUUCAAUUUCACGUUUUUGUUACUGGACAAGACCUUUUGAUAUUUUCAAUUUCACAGUUCCUCCGAUCUGACAAGUUCAUUGUACGACAGGACUGAUGGGUUCCCUCAGGUUUGACGCUUCUCUCCACUCUCAAGAAAAGAGCACAUUUUAUGGAGCGCUGUUUCCUGAUCCUGGGAGAGAAGACUACAAUGCCGGCGCUUCUGACUCACAGUCUGUAAGUACAUUUACAUAUAUAAAGAAUUUGCCACUGAUGAUUCAAACGCGAGUUUUGCGCAGUUUAGAGUAGCGCUUGUUGUUUGUCAUUUCCCCAAUCACAAAUGUAGACAUGGUUUUAUGCUUACGUGGCGUGAUGCGACUUAACUCGUAAAAACACAGUAUAGGUCAUUAUAAUCAGUAAUUAUGUCCCCACUGGAUGCUACAAAUGGCUCGUUUGUAAUGGGUUUUAAUGUUUUUGUCUUGUCGCGCUGGUGUUCUGCCUGGGACACGCAUCACAGUAUGUUAAGGGGUGUAACAUUUCUGUCACACACUUGAGGCAUUCAGCCAAUCACAACGCACUGGAUAGCUGGCUAAUCAGAGCACGCCUCGCCUUUCAGACCGAUGAGCUUUGUAAAAAAACGAUGCGUUUCAGAAGGUGGGGCAUAGAUGAGAAACAAUACAGUAUGUGGAAAGUAAUGUGUUUUUUUUAACCUUAAACUGCAUAAAUACAUAAUGUUCUUUUUAGCGAAAUCAUAUGACCCCUAUAAUAAUAAUUUAAUUUUGUUAUGUGCUUUUGUCAUUUUUAUUUUUUUUUAUUUUAAUUGUAUUAUUUAUUAUUUUGCCUUGUUAGCACUUUUUUAUUUCAGGAUUAAUUUGAGAAAUUAUAGUACUUAAACUUUUCAGUUAGUUGCCAACACAUCAUUUCAUUUUAAAUGUAAUUUAAUAUAAUUUUUUGUACUUUUGUAAGUUCAGGUUUAUUCUCAUAAGACUCCAAUUUAGUUAAAAUUCCUCAAUGGUCGUGAAAAAACAGCACCCAUUUUAACUUGUCAAAAACAGCUCUGUUCACAGCGAACUGUUUCAUUGCAUGUCUCUUUAAAUGCUAAUGAGCUCUUCUCACGCUGGCCCUCUCUUCUGUGGAAGAGGAAAGGCGAUUUGCAAGUAAUCAUGAAAAAUGUCUAUAUGUCUCCAGACAGCUAUAUAUAUAUAUAUAUAUAUAUAUAUAGCGGUCUGUAGUGAAAUGAUUUGUGCAGACAUAAACAAAUUUAGGUGUAUUCGGUGACGCAUUACCAUCAAAAAAAAAAAUCCAAUGC
ensembl:lncRNA